rnacentral:rRNA from 1 species
AGCGAACGCUGGCGGCAGGCUUAACACAUGCAAGUCGAACGGGCGUAGCAAUACGUCAGUGGCAGACGGGUGAGUAACGCGUGGGAACGUACCUUUUGGUUCGGAACAACCCAGGGAAACUUGGGCUAAUACCGGAUAAGCCCUUACGGGGAAAGAUUUAUCGCCGAAAGAUCGGCCCGCGUCUGAUUAGCUAGUUGGUGUGGUAACGGCGCACCAAGGCGACGAUCAGUAGCUGGUCUGAGAGGAUGAUCAGCCACAUUGGGACUGAGACACGGUCCAGACUCCUACGGGAGGCAGCAGUGGGGAAUCUUGCGCAAUGGGCGAAAGCCUGACGCAGCAACGCCGCGUGUGUGAUGAAGGUCUUCGGAUCGUAAAGCACUGUCGCGAGGGAAGAUACGCCUGAAGCUAACAUCUUCAGGCUAAGACGGUACCUCGAGAGGAAGC